UUUACCUCUCUUUCAACAUUUAUCAUUUAGCCAGGUUGGUUGUGAAUCCGGUCGACCGUCGCUUUGGUUAAGACGCCAUAUUCCUUCAAAGGGAUAACCGUUUGAAAGACCUUUCUCCCUAACUCUUGCUGCUGAAUAAUCAUCUCCUUUCCUACGACAAGGCUCUGAUAUCUCUUUGAUACAUGCGCCUAUAUGUCCCUCUUAGUUUUAUUCUUUCUUCUUCUUUAUAUUUUGGUGUUGGAGUCAUCUAGCCAUCGCUAGGGUUUAAAGAUUAUAAUUGUAAAAAAUUCUUCAUGCACACCAUGUUGCUUCAAAGUGGAUCCACUUUGUCUUCAUGUUAGACUCUCUUGUAUCCGUCGUCUGGAUAAUUACCUACUUCCAAUGUCUCCCGAUUGUCAGGAUAUAUGGGCUAGGGUUCUUCUUACCGACUUCUAUUAUUGCAAAAAACGCCUCCCUAUUUCAUCCUUUUUCGGUUUUCUUGUUCCCUGUUGUUGACGAUGUUUGUCUUUAUUCUAUUUGAAUCCUAUCACAGAAGAAGGCACAAAGGGCGAUUAGAGGCAAGCAUGUGAGAAUAAUUCGCGAUUCAUACUGGGAUUGGACCUGUUGACUGUGGUGCCCAGUUAUUUGGGGUUUUUGCCGACUUUCGAAUCAUAAAAAUGUUAUUUGUAACCCGAUUGAAAAGUUUUCUCUUAGGUUUUCUUACAAAUAUUGCGAGUUUAAGUUGGAUUUUUUUUGUAAGUUUUGUGAUUUUAAACAAGUUCUGAUUUUUUUUUUUUUUUGAAAGUUUAACGAUUUUUAAUAGUUUCUCGGUAAAAGAAUGUCUUCGCGGCUUCCUUUCUACUACUGGUUUGUGGUGGUGGACAUAGUCUUUCCUCUAUCUCGGUUGCCUUCCAUUUCCAUUCCCACUAACCACAAUUCUUUUGGUUAUAGGUUUUUGUUUUCUUUUUAUUAAUGCUUCUUGCACAUCUAUAUUUCAUGCAUUAUAUUUUUGCGUGCUUCCCGUUACACUUAAUUUCCAUUUUGCCUAACCACAUCUUGAAUAAAAAGAGAAGCUUUCAAGGAAAAUUUUAAAAUGCUAGAGUUUUGGUGAAAUUUUUCCCAAAUUUAUGGUCUUUUAAUCAAGUAUGCACUAAAAAAAGUCCUUGACUUGUGUAUUUCCCAAUGGAUUUCCAAUGGUGAUUCAAUAGACAAUUAUAGUAUUUACACCCCCUCAUGUAAAGUUAUUACUUUCAAUUAAAUUAGAGAACUCUUUUAUUAAAAGAAGAUACUAACAUUAUGAAGUUUUUUGGAGCACAAUCAACAAUCAUAUUAUUAGUAUUAUGUGAGUUUGUUAUUUUCUCUAUUUCAUAUCCAUGGUCGGUGUUACUUUUAUAUUAUGGCAGGUCCUUAUGAUGAUUUGGGCGACACUAAGGAUUUUUCAAAUGAUGGAACACAAGUGAUGGCUUUGGUAGCAAAGUGAAAAGUUAACUGAGAACAUUAUUUUUGCAAUAGUCAAGGCCAACAAAAGGAAGGAAUAUGAGGUAUCUAUCUCUUCAACCAGGUAACAAUUUUGAUCUACAUUAACUCCACUUUCAAUUUUAGGUGGAAAUAAAGAUUUUUAAAAUUAUAUAUGAUCAUAAGUUAAUUUUUUUCCCAUCAUAAGUUUUCUAUCUCUACCAACUAUUGCUGUCUGUGUGAUUGUGUAUCCUAACAUAGGCCAUUUAUCUUCUCUUUUGCUGAUUAAGUUUUGUGUAUAAAAGAUGUCCAAAAGCAUUGUCUGAGAAAAACAUGACACAGAUAAGGAUGUAAAAAAAAAAUAAAAAAAAAAAAAUAAACGGAAGUGAUCGAUCUGUUAAACAUCAGACAAUGUGCGUUAUGCUCUUAAAUUGGUUUUCUAACUUUCUCUGUUAAGCCAUUCUUUCUGCAUUGAUUAAAAAUGAACAUAGGUUUUCCAGUUGGAAUUAGGACAAAUAUAUUUUGUCUAUUUUUAUGGUUUUACACAUGGAUUUUUCUGUUGGAAUUUUUUAGUAUUACGGUUUUACGGAGAGGGGAGUCAAUAGAUAGCAUUGUUCAAAUCUUUAAUUAUUCUGCUCAAGAUUGAAGAGCUUAAGCUUUCCAUUGGGAGCAACCAAUCCAACCCUUCAGUCCUUCAUGAUCCCUUUUGCCCGGUUUCUUCUUGAUUUGUUUUAGUUCAAAUAACUAAAAAUUAAGUUAGUAGAGAGUGUUGAGUUCAUAUUCAUUUAACUUAAAGAUCCAUAUAAGCCAAAUAUUAUUAUUCCAAAUAUUAAAGUCAGGAUAUUUAAAUAUAUAUGAAGCAAAACUGCUUGUACGUAGAAACAUGAUUAAUGCAAGCGGUUGACACUUAUAUCAAAUUUAUUUUGGGGUAUAUUUAAAUUUGGCCCUACAAUCACCAAUCACCAUGUUGUUUGUACGGGAUCCGAAAUCAACGUUGAAGACGCCACAAUUAACUAAUCGUAGCCCAUUAACGACCUAUGUCAAUAUGAUAAGGACCAAAAUUACCAGUAAUAUAUGAUUCAUCUACACUUCAAAUUCAUUUUGUAUUGUGAUUGUGAGUGCAGGUGGAGAUUUAUUCACAAUUCUGGAAGAGAUAAUGGUCAAAUUUAUUUUGUAUUGUGAUUUAGAGUCCUCUUUAUUGCAAUUAAUGAAGACAAAGUCACGUUUGUGGAUUUUGAUGGAAUGUAAUGGUAUUGGAAUUGGGAUUACAUGUAUUUUGUAAAUAUAUUGUGGAAGUGAAUGUAGGCAAUUAGUCUUUAUUCUUUUACCACCAUACACAAUUUAUUUU
rnacentral:lncRNA from 1 species